rnacentral:misc_RNA from 1 species
CCAAACUUGGUCAUUUAGAGGAAGUAAAAGUCGUAACAAGGUAACCGUAGGUGAACCUGCGGUUGGAUCAUUAACAAAAGCAGAAGGGUGUCCAAAAGACGCCCAUUCUCAACACAUGCGAACCGUUUCUGUCUCUGGUGGGUUAACAUGGCAGCUCUCUGCCAGGUCUAAGGCCCGCCUUAGGUCACCCACCACUAUAUAAACUUUUAGAAACUUUGUCAAUAAUAUUAUUAGAUAAAUCUAAACAACUUUUGGCAACGGAUCUCUAGGCUCUCGCAUCGAUGAAGAACGCAGC